CUGCUGUAAACGCGACCGGUUGCGCCGCGCCGGCCCGUUGAAACUGCCGGCAGUUGUUCCCGAGUUUAUACCGGCUCGAACAUGGUAUUUUUGAAUAUCGCGUUACCGUGCCACCUCUUUUUGAUUCGCGUACGUGCGCCCUGUGCGAUCACCUUGCAAAUGCGGAAUAUAUAAACAUCGGCAGGAUUUGGCAGUUUUAUACGAAGAAACGUGAUACCCCCACGGCCCGAACAUGUUUACAAGCGUUUUCUUCUUGCCCGUUUGUUUCCUGGUGAUGGUGGGCUGCGUCUGGACGGCAGCUGGAAUGAUGAUUCCGUGCCUUUGUUCCUUCCCAUUUGAGACGAACUGCCAGAUGCCAUGCCAAAUAUUGCAAGAAAAGAUAAGACGAACAUGAAACAGACGAUGGCAGCAGCAUGGUCGAAGACAGCGCGGGACGCCACAUUGGAAACUCUCUAGUGCCAAGUAUAUUUUAUAUGACUGCCACAAGAAAAUAAAGAAUUAUUAUUCCUCUGUCAUUAACGCACAGUUUGUUGCAUACACAAGGGAAAUUCAAGAGGCACUGAUUUCUGGAAAUAUACAGGAUGUCCAAAAAUGAUAGAGCCACCUCACAGAUAACGGUUUGUAAAGUUUGCUGGCCAUUAUUACAGUUUUCAUUUUUUUUUCAAUUACCGCGCACUCGAAUAAAAAAUCUGAGAAAAUUUGAGAACACUGUUCGCGAUAGUGUUUCAUCGGAGAAUUAAUGUGCAGACAGCAUAAUUUUUGGUUUUCGAAAAAUCGGCUAUUGUAUGAUUUUCGGUUUUUCCUUUUUCGCGACGUCUGUUUGCAACGAACAAAUUUGAAAGAAUUCUGCAACGUGCUGACCGUGUUCCGAAGUGUGUCUCAUGUUUAUCAAAAUUUUAAUGAGCCCGUGAACACUGAACAUGUUAGAUACGUUUCGUAAUUGUCCAUCGUUUCUGUAUAAUUGUCUUAAAUAGUUUUCACAUAAAUAAUUUAACCUUGUGCAUGCAGAGUAUAUAAACACCAGCAGAAUUUGACAUUAUACCAUAUACAAAAUGAAACGUGAUACCCUGACGGUCAAAACAUGUUCGCAAGCGUUCAUUCCGUCAUCUAGCCUGUUUAUUUACUGCUGCUGCUAAGCUGCGUCGGGAUGACAACAGCACACAGGCGUAUAUAAACACCAGCAGAAUAUAGCAGCUCUUUCUAAUGAACGUGGUAUUCCUAGGGCCUAAACAUGUUUACAAGCGUUCAUUCCGUCUUCUUGCCUUUUUAUUUACUAGUGAUGCUAAGCUCUGUCUCGUUUGUAGCUGUGCUUGGUAAUAAGGUCAGUACAUCGCGCAAAUCAAUAUUGUAUACUAUACAAUAUUAUUUACAAUAA